GCACAUGGGUUAGUCGAUCC
rnacentral:snRNA from 1 species